CGUGGAGAUGGAGCAAACAGUAUAAAAGUUGGAGAGUUAAUUUCCAUUACAGUUGAAGGAAGAUUGUAUUGCAAAAUUUAGUGAUUUACCUACGUUCAAGUUAGAUGCUAUGUCUUCAAAUUUGAUUGGCCUUCUAUCACGAAAGGGAUAAAAAGAUGGAUGGAGGAAAGGAGAGGAAGAAGGGUAUGAAUUUUGUUCUCUCUUCGGUGUUGGUAGUUCUAGUUUUAAUGGUGGAAAGAUAAGAGGAGGGAUCAUCUUUGUGGAAUACGGAAAGAUAACAUGAAGUGACGUGGGUUGAAAAUAAUGAGGUCUCAGGUUCACAUCCUAGGAGAGACAAACACAUGUCUUCAAAUUUGAUUGGCCUUCUAUCACGAAAGGGAGAAAAAGAUGGAUGGAGGAAAGGAGAGGAAGAAGAAGGGUAUGAAUUUUGUUCUCUCUUCGGUGUUGGUAGUUCUAGUUUUAAUGGUGGAAAGAUAAGAGGAGGGAUCGUCUUUAUGGAAUACGGAAAGAUAACAUGAAGUGACGUGGGUUGAAAAUAAUGAGGUCUCAGGUUCACAUCCUAGGAGAGACAAACACACUAGGCAAUUUCUUCCAUCUGUCCAAGCUUCAGAUAGAGUUACCUAUCACCUAUGAUGGUGGGAGGUAGAAACUACCCUGUGAAAUUAUUUGAGGUACGUGCAAGCUGGUCUGGCUAACACAGUUAUUAGGAAAAGAUGAACGGGGAGUGUAGUUGGAAAAAAUCGGACUUUUUUCCCUCUUUUUGUAUAAAAAAUUCUUCUUUUUUUUUGGUGGGAUUUUUUGGGUUUAAGAGGCAUGUGUCUUUCUUCCGUUGGCUUCUUUGCCAUCUCUUUGCGUGUAAAGUGCACACAUUCAGUUACCCUUCACUCACCAAAAAAAAAGAAAAAGUGCACACAUUCUAUUUUCUUGAUUGUUUCAGUAACGUGCUGCACAAUUUGAGCACAAGUAGUUCAUAGAUGGCUUGACGAAAAAUCCGGAGAAGUUUAAGUGUUGUCAAUGUAUUCAACCUUUACAUUAAGCAUUUUAACAUCUUCCUCCUCGGAUUCUUCUCUGUAAUGACGGCACCCCAAGCGGAUCUCCAUGUGAAAACACACUUUUCCUUUGGUGUUUUCUCAAUACAUCAUUUUCAAUUGUCAUCUGUGCUACUCUGUUUAUGUUUGAAUCUCUUGGUUUUCUCAUUGGAUCUACCUAACGAAACUCUCUAUGCAAAGAAAGAAAUCUUUGGAGAUAAUUUGUUUUAAGGAAAAGGAACUUUGUAAUGCCUCAAAUAUGUUCAAAGCAUGUGGUGGCAUGUUUCGUGCAUCUACUACUCAAAAUUCUAUUAGUACUUUUUUCUCUUAUCUCAUAAUUCUUUUAUCUGCUGGUGAUAGCACCUCUUUACCUAAACUUGAGUAUGAUGUCUUGAAUGCUUGGUGGAAUAUUAACCCUCGGGGUUCAGCUCAAGAAAAAUGGAUUAAUGUUAUUGACGGUAAUUAUGGCAUAUUCAUGUUUAUUUAUCUCUUAAUACUAUGGAAACCUUAUAAUGCUCACAAGUUUCUUGCUUCAUAUGUCCUGAUAAAUUUAAUCUAAUUUAUGAAAGUCUCGCAUAUAGUAAUGCUGUUAACAUUUACUGUUAUGAUAUUGCUAUGUAUUUGAGCUGUUUGUAUCUUUUGGGCAUGGCUGUUGCAUUGGUUUUGAUGAUGAGAUUUGAUGCAGUGAGGUUGAUCGUAGUGGCGAACCAUUUGAAAUCCGAGGUUCGGAAGUUACCUGAAGAACUGCAUUUCUACAAGUGUCAAUAUGAGACCCAAGUGGUAUGUAAUUCCCCUUCCUCUUGGUUCCCUUCCAUGUUUAACUUUCUGUUUUAUUCGAUGUUUUGUUUUGUUCAUUGAUGAAUUGUUUAUAGGUCAUUUAUCAGGCCAAUAUGGGCAAUUUUCUUCUAAUUUAAAAUAUGAUAUUGUUCUGAAUGUAUUAACAUAAGAAAAGUUGAAUGAAUUAAGACCAAACAAAGAAAUAGUUUCGAGAAUUCGAAAUUUAGUGAAGAAAGGAAGUAUCAUUUUCACUUGAAUUAUAGUAUAAACCUUUUAUACCAACUUACAAGAAUUUUAUGAACUUGGGAGAUGAAAAGAUAGAGAGAGAAGCUUGAACUUCAAAAGAGAAAUAAUUUUGUUAACUUUUUAUGAUUUCUUUUCCUUCACAAAAAAGUACCUCGCUAUUAAUGGACUUGACUUAAAGAGGCAAAUGAGGGAAUACAAAUUCUCUUUGGUGCAAAAGUUCCUCUCUUUUUUUUUUUUUUUUUUUUUUAAAUGUACAUUCUUUAGGCUGCAGAACAGGAGUUUGCGGUAAAAUCUUUCGUUUAAUUUUUUUUAUAAGUUAUAGUUUAUGUCAACAAAUGAUGCUGGCAUGAGUAUAUUUAAAGUUACAUACUAACUUUAAGUAUUAACACACUUAAUAAGGAGCAAGAAGAGUCACUGGCCCAUAUAUAGCUGUUUCAGAAACUUCUUUCUCUUAUGAAUCUUCUGUAAUGGAUGCUGAAUUCAGAUAUUCUGCAGGUGAGUCAAAUACUACUCAGUUCAUCAAAGAUGGUGACACUAUUGUUUCCUCUGAUGGAACGUUUGAGUUGGGAUUUUUCAGUCCGGGAGAUGCUUCAAAUUGAUAUGUUGGAAUAUGGUACAAGAAAACUUCUGUUACCACACCUGUUUGGGUUGCUAAUAGGCUGGUUCCACUUACUGAUAAAUCGGGAGUCUUGAAAGUUAUCCAGCCAGGCAUCGUUUGUGUAUGGGUUAUGUUAAUCUGGACAUACGCAAUGGAGGAAGCGGGUGCUUGCUAUGGAUCGGGGAGCUGGUUGACAUCAGACAACUAUCUUCAUCAGGACACGAUAUCUACAUUAGGAUGUCCACUUCAGAUAUCGGUAAUAUGCAAUUUACUGAUGGAUGUUUUUAUUGUAUGGCAGUUGUUUUCCUUAAUUGCCUUGAACUAACUUGGUACUUCAUUGACAUUAACACUAUGAUAGUAGUUUUACGGAAAAACCACAUUCAUUAUUAAAUACCCAGGUUAAUUGGCAUGUUUGGAAUAAAGUUUCCUUUUGUUAAAUUCAAUUUACUGGUGGUUUUGUGGUGCUUCGAUGCUUUUAAAUCUCAUUACAAGCCUGCUAGGGCGUUUUAAGGAAGAAUAUACUCACUAUAUGGUCAACACAGGUAUUGGUAUUUUCCGGAGAGACCGGUUGUGGAAAGACUACACAACUCCCUCAGUCUAUUCUACAAGAGGAGAUAUCAUUCCUUCAUGGUGCAGACUGUAACAUCAUAUGCACUCAGCCUCGCCGUAUAUCAGCAAUAUCAGUUGCCGCUCGAAUAUGCUCUGAAAAAGGGGAGGAUCUCGGUGAUACUGUUGGAUACCAGAUCCCAGUGCAAUCAAAGCGAUAUCAUACGUAAAUGUGAGCAUUCGACAGUAUAUUAUUUUCAGGAUUGUAUAAAACAUACAUUUGAACUCAUUUUCAUCAACUGAUCCAGUCAAACAGAAUAGUCCCUUGCUGUUACGUGUUUAUUUUACUCUACUAUAUGCGUUGGGCCCGUGCAACGCACGAGCAUACCUAUCUAACUACAUAAAAGAAAAAUCAUCACUCAUUUUGUAAAGAAAAAAAUAGUAUAAUUUUUAAUUUAGAUAAUAAAGCAUAUAUAGUAAAUUCUUACGUGGAAGCUUUAGCUUAUGUAAUGCAACCUAGAAAAUGAUGGAUGUCCUUUGGUAUAUUUGUCCCAAUAAUGAAACAUAUGAUGGUAUUCAGAUUAUUUAGUGAAUCAUUUCGCAAUUUUGAAAGCUAAUGAUUGUGUAGCCACACCAAAAAUGUAUAUUAUGAUACCACGUUUUACGUAUAUAUUAUCUUUGUUAACAUAAGACACAGUUUUUCUUUCAUCAAAUAGAGCAAAGAAGUACUGGAUAAUUUCCAUGUAAAAGUUCAAAUUUAGUUAUAUGAUUAGUCAAGUUCACAAAUUAACUACUAUUGACGCAACUAUAUAAUUUCAAACUCACUGAACUAUAACUAUUGCGGAAGAACUUAAUGGAUAUUCUUGUAAAUUUGUAAUUGGCAACUCAAUCAGCUUUGUGAGUGGAUCAAAUGAAUUACUUUGUUCCAUCAUUCAUUGUUCUAGAAUUUUAGAAUAUAUAUUGUCACACCCCUUUUUAACUCCAGAAAGAAUUAGAUUUUAAGUUCGAAAGGAUUUUUAUUUAUUAAAGUGACAAAAAGAAGAUUAUUUUCGAAAAAGGAUCAUUUUUACAUUCAAAACUCAAGUUGCCACUUGACAUAAUCUGGUGUGCUAAGUUACCUUUGGACAAUCCUUUUCAAAACAAUUUCUCUUUAAAACUGAUUUGCGAACAGAGAUUCCAGCUAAGGAAUUCUGUUGACCGCAGGGAAGGUGUUAGGCACCCCUCGAUCUCCUCUUUAAAACUGGUUUGCGAACAGAGAUUUCAGCUAAGGAAUUCUGUUGACCGCAGGGAAGGUGUUAGGCACCCCUCGAUCUCAUGGUUCAACCACGAUCGUUUGAUAGAGAAUAUUGGCUAAUUUUAACACUACAAAUAUAUAAACCACAUAAAACACACAAAACAAUCAAUCAAACCAACAAAAAAACAAAUCCAAAAUCAUAAUGUCCAGUCUAAUUAUUACAAACCGAAACAGAAAAAUGCAAAAAUAUAAAUCCUAUUCUAAACUAGUCCUAGGGUAAACUCCGUUGUUUUACCCGAUGCCUUGGACCUUCAUCACAAUCAUUUUUCGCCAACAUAGUACGUCGGGGCAUUCCUCGGUGAAUAAAUACAAAUACCUCGGGACAUUUCCCAGCCAAAUGAAUACACUUUUCAAAUACUGUAAACAAGACAUUCAAAAAAUAUUUCAAACAUUCCAACAAUCCACCAAUUCUACAUUUGCCUACCUAGCUUACUGUUUGCCUAUCCGCUCGACGACAUAUCACAUUCAACAUCAACAAUGAAUCAAAAUACCAUAAUAUUCACUUUUACCAAUUUCGAUUCCCGCCCCAACUUCAUUCUUAUCAAUCAAUGAUUAACACAUGCUUCAAUUAUCAACUCACUUUUCAACAUUCAAAUCCAACAUCAACCAAUACGCAAUCAAGAUUCAAACGUACCAAACACACAAAUCAUUUACGAUAACGUAAAAAUUAAAGCGAGAGAAAAUAAAAUUGGACCUCGAUAUUAUUUUUAUUCGAAUAUUAUCCUGUUGAACAAAACAGAGUCCGCGCCGAAAACCCAGAGCCAACCUCCACGAAUCAACUCAGCCUCAGUAUUUCACUUUUUGCUCUGCUUUUCACCAGUUCGAACAAAAAUUGCGCAGAAUAGACGAAACAGCCCGAAACCAAAACGAAACCGAGAACCCGUGUGAUGAUUUCCGACGAGACCUCGCCGGACUCAGCUCGAAUGGACGGUUUAGGACUAACGAGCUAGUGAGAUACCAUUUUCGGAAGGAUUUCGCCUAAAACUCAACAACACUGACGAGAUGUCUGGGGAUUUAGGCACUGGUUGGGUUAUUUUGAUGAGCCUUCAUAGUUUCUCGAUGAUUUUGUGUGUUGUGUGUGCGUAAAGAAGAAGAGCCCAGAUCCCCUUUCUUUCUUCUCAUCAAAUCGCUCCUCUCCCCAUCUGUGUGGUCUCACGAACUCUCUGUGUGUGGAUGAAUUUUGGUGAGCUUUUCUGUAAGUGCCUCGUCUACGGCGGUGGUGUGCGCGUAUGGUGAGAGAAUUGUGUGGGGUUGAAGAUGAGUGAUGUCUAUGUACUAUGGGAAUUUCAGUGAGUGAAUUCUUGUUUUGGAAAUGGAAAAGUGGUACUAUGUAUGUGUGUGUGUGAAUUCGUGAGGGAAUUUCUGGUGGUGAGUGUGUAUUUUCUGUUGAGGAAAAUAUUCCCUGUGGGCCCUCAUUCCUUUUAGCUGUAUGUGUAAUUUUGUUAUGGAAAAGAAGAAAAAACGUGAGAGAGAAAAUGGAUUGGGGUGACGUGGGUUAGGGUUGGGGGUGUGGGGUGGUGAGUAGGGAGGGGUAGAGAUAGGUUAGGAUGAUUAAAAUAAGAUAAAAUUUGUUAAGAGUUGUUAUUUUUUAUCAUUUUAUGGAGGGAUAAUCACAUGGGUGAGAGCGUAUGACAACGCGAGGUAAAAAUGAAUAAAUUGAAUUUUUGGGAGGAACAAAAUUACGUGUCUACUUAUAUGAUGCAUUUAUUAUUCUAUCUUCAUCGGAAUUAUGUGUUUGUUGUGAAGAACAAGUCAAUAAGGUACCAAAAAAUAAAUGAAAAAAAGUUAAAGAGCAAGAGAAAGAAAAAUGUUGCGGGUUUGGCCGGCAAUUGGAAGAAAAGAAACUAUAGAGCAAUGAAAAUUGUAAGGAAGACACUCCUUUGUAUGACUACUACACACUCCUAGUUGUAUAAAGGACGAUCCUCCUAACAAUUUACAUUGCUCUUAGUUUCUUUUCUUCAAAUUGUCCACCAAAUCCACACCAUUUUCUUUUAUCUUGCUCUAACUUCUUUUCAUUUAUUCGUUGGUACUUAAUAACUAGUUCUUCACGACACACACACAAUUCCAACAAAGAUAGAAAACUAAAUGCAACAUGUACUGAAACUCUAGAAGAUUGAAUGAUGAAACGAAAUGAGAAAAUCACAAGGUUGAUUGAGUUGCCAAGAACAAAAUUAAAAGAAUAUCGAUUAAGUUCUUUGGCAAGGAUUAUAAUUUAGUUAGUUUGAAAUUGUAUAAUUGUGUUAAUAGUAGUUGAUUUGUGAACUUGAUUAAUCAAAUAACUAAAUCUAAAUUUUUACACGAAAGUUAUCCAGUACUUCUUUGAUCUAUUUGAUGAAAUAAAAGCUCUGUCUUAUGUUAACAAAGAAAAUAUAUAUGUAAGACGUGAUGUCACAACAUGCAAUUUUGGCGUGGUCACACCACCAUUAACUCAAAAAUUGCAAAAUGAUACACUAGAUAACCUGAAUAAUAUCAUACGUUUCAUUAUUAGGACAAAUAUACCAAAAGACGUCUAUCAUUUGCUACGUUGCAUUACACGAGCUAAAGCUAAGAAAUUACUAUAUAUUUUUUAUUAUCUAAACUAAAAAUUACAUUACUUUUUUUUACAAAGUCAAUGAUUAUAUUUCUUCUUUGUAGUUACAGUGAAGAUAAUUGAGAAUCAAUUAUUCAUGAUAUUUCCUUACUAUAUGUCAUACAUAAUGGAGUAUAUGAUUGAAGGCAACUACUUCAGAGGUAAAAAAAUAAGUACUUCUAUUUCGAUUAUUACUGAAUAGUGGUAAAACAAAAGAGUCACUGGAUAUUAUAUUCAACUCAUAAAAUAACACGAUCAAUCAAAAUGAAUUGUAUAGCUUAAUUUAGUAAUAUUUUAUUAUUAGCUAAUUACUAAUUUAAGACUAAGAAAUUGAAUAAAAUUUUCAAGACUAUAAUUUAAUUAAACAAUUUAUAUUUACGAUACUCUAUCUUGACAUAAUACUUUAGUUAAAAUAGUGUUACUUUAUUUAUUUUUUAAAUAACAUAGUGUUACUUUAUUUUUAAAAUCUAUCUUACAAUGUAAAAGGUAAUCUAAAAGACUUAAUGGGAGUUUGGAUUAUCUUUUAAAAAGAACAGCUUAUAAGCUAAAAGUCAUAAAUAUGGAAGGAAAUCUUAUUUUUGACUUUUGGCUUUUGACUUAUUUUUAUACUUUUUUGAUCCAAAAGUGAGUGCUUGAAAAUACUUUUUAGUUUUGUCAAACACUACUAAAAUUUAAAAAGUAUUUAAAAGUCAAAAAUACUUAAAAAUAAAUCAAUUCAAACAACUUAUUUCUUAUGUUGAAAUUAAAAGAUUAUGAGUUAUUCUUGGAUACAACAUAUUAGUAAUUACUCUUUAUGUUUUAUGUGCGUGUUUGUUGUCAGUUUCCACUAUACAGAAUGCGAAGUGGAAGAGAUACUCUUUUAAGAUGUAAACAUGAGAGUUUUCUUGGUACGGUAAUGUUUCACAUUGACUAUCAAAAACUAAUAGAUCACACGCACAAAUUACCUCAACAAAAACACUUAAGGAUCGUUUGAUAAGAGGGAUAAGGAUAACUAAUCAUGAGAUUAAUUUAGAAAAGGAGCUUAUCGCAUGUUUGAUUGGAACAAAAUACAUCGGAUAACUCAUCCCGAAAUUAAUUAUUCUGAGAUUAUAGUAUUUUUCUUAUCCCUCUUUGAGCAUGAGAUAACUAAUCUCACGAUUAGAAAUUCGAGAUAACUUGUCUUCCAACCAAACAACCCCCUUCAAGACAAAUAAGGACAGUAAUUUGAUAUUUCCUUACUUAAAUGUGAUAGUAAAAACUCUUUAGUUAAUUAGAUUAGGAAUCGAAAUUCAAAAGUAAUAGCAUUUGUUUUUAAUUCUAUUUUUACAAUGAUAUAUUUUUUUUUUAAAACCAAAAUAGUGAAUAGAAACAUAGAAGAAUUAGACUAAAAGGAUAAAUAAGUCCAUCAAUAUUAUAAGGAUAUUUUGAUUAUUAUUCGUGCAUUUAUAAAUUACUAGUUUAGUUGUACGUGCGAAGUGUAACUUUUGAUUAUUUAAAAUUAAACGAUUUUACCUAUCACGAAGGUUUUUAAUGAAGUACAAAAAGUUUAAAACAAAUAUUUUAUCGUAAGUACAUAUAUAUAUGAGAAAAUAAUUACGUUGUUAGAUUCGAACAUACGAGAAUAUCAAACCUAGAAAUCAAAAUUCACAAAUAAAACAGAUGUAAUAAUGCACGGUGUGUUAAACUUAAAAUCACUCUCUAAGCUAGAAAAAUAAUAAUAAGCCACGACAAUCAAUAGAAAAGGAAAAACAACUCAAAAAAGAGAGAGAAUAACAUACUAACCUAGCGGAUGACAAUUACAAUGGUUGAAGAAAUAAAAAUAUGUUGAAAAUUAAACCUAGUCCUAAUUUAAGAAAAAAAACUUACCAUAUUUUAAAGUCCUAAUCCAUUACCAUAUUUUAAAAUCCUAACCCAUAUAUUCUAGGAUUCAAAAUUAUAUAUAUAAUUAAAUAAUAAUUAGAGAAAAAAAAAGUGAAAAGAUGAUUUUGUCUAUUUUAAAGUGUUUUAAUGAAGGGCAAAAAGUUCAAAUCACUUUUUUAGGGACCUUCCCACUUUUAAUAUAUUAUAGAUAUAGAUUAUAGAUAUAAAUUAUAGAUUAUAGAUAAAAAUACAAAUAUAAAUAAAUAUAGAGAUAUAUGCUUUUAAAAUUGUACAUGCAGAGUGUUAGAUGGAUGGGUGAUCCUUGAGGGAGCUACCUUGGGGUCGGUGAGUGGUUGGCUGAUCUGCAAUACCACUUUGAUUCUACUAUAAUUAUUCGUCUUUCUUUUAUUUCUAUGGAUAGUUUGAUAUCAAAAUCUUGUAAUAUUCGACAUUUAUGUUGUUUCGAGAAUUCUACGACUUCUCAUUGUUUAUGCUUGCUUACUUUAUGCAUAUUAAUAACCGAAAUGGAUUAAAAUAUGAAAAUAAUUCAUCUUAAGAGAUUUAUUCGACUUGUUAUGUUAAUGAGCAUUCAACCAUCAAUAAAAAUAAAUAAGCACCAACAUAUAUUGAAAUCGUGCGAGGAAAUUCAAAUAUAAUUUAGUUAAAAUAUAGAAGUAAAAAACAACGAAAGACAGCUCAGUAAUAUAGGCCCUGUUUAACCAUGAAAAUCAUAAUUUUUCGGAGUUGGAGAUGGAGUUGAAACUGAAGUUGGAGUUGGAGUUAUAUUUGGUCAUGAAUAUAAAUUAAAGUUAUUUUUUAAAUUUUGUGAGAGAAGUAUAUGUGAAAGCAAGUAAAACUUAUUUUCACAUUUCCAAAUACAAUUCCGGAAUUGUAUUUGAAAUUUUCAUGACCAAACGCAUCGCGUUUACACUUUUUUCACUAAAGUGAAAUAAUUUUUCAGAAAAAAAUAAUAAUUUUCAUGGUCAAACGGCUACUUAGUGAAAGCAAGCUAAACUGUACAAAUUGUUCACUCACCUGUAACCAACGACUCGAAUCAAAAUGAUCAAAAGCAGACCUUGCACCUCGGUUUGGGGUUUGCAAACCCUGACAGAGUCUUCACUAAUAGAUGCUAGGAGCUCGCCUGAGGGAUCCCAGCAGACGGAAUGAACUGGUUUUGUGUGGCCAUUCAGAAAUAAUAACAAUAUGUUAGGUACACCGGGUACUGGAAACACAACUAGAGUUGGAAGAAAACAUACGCAACAGUACAUGUACCAGCCUUGACGAAAAUCAGUAAGUAUAUUAAUUCAAAAUUCUCUCUCCUCCUACAAUGUUUACCUCCUCCAUCUCUUCUCAGCUUUUACUACGGAUGUCCAUACUUUAUGCUACAAGAUCGAUAAGGAAGACACAAAAACAUACACCAAAUCAGUCCACAAUCUUAAGGAUCCGAGGACCGAGAUGGAGACCAUUCUCGAAUUGGCUACCAACAACAAGAAUACAAGAAUUAAUGGUAUCUUUGGCACCAAAACAACAACCCAAACUAAUGUUAACAACAAUUUAUGUAGAGAGCAAAAUGAACAAUAACAAUGAUGAAGUAGAUAGAUAGAUAGGUAACUUGACAUACAAAUGUACAAACACUAUGAACCUAAGUGUAUAUUGAACACGAAGACCCAAGAAUUAAUACAAGUAACACCAAGCUCUACGGUGAUGAUACAAGAUCGACAAGGAAGACACUAACACACACCAAAAUAGUCCAUGAUUUGAAGAACCGAGGACCCCUUUUGGUGACCCCUCUCGAAUUCACUACACAAUAUCAAUACAAGCACGAUAACAACAAGAUUCUAAGGUGUUCAACACCUAUAAUCAGGGAGCCACAAACUAAGAUUACAACACAAUAACAAGAAAAAAAAUGACACAACAAGGUCUCGGGUUUGGACACCCAAAAUCGAGAAUGAACACAACAACAAUAAUAAGAUAGAAUGAUAGAUAACUUGACACACAAUACACAAACACUAUGAACCAAAGUGUAUAUUAAACACUAAGACCCAGGAAUUUAUACAAAUGACAUCAAGUUCUUACGGUGACCUCAAGGGAAUGGAAUCCCUAAGCAACUAACGUUUCAAAACAAGCAACCAACACAAGUGAUUCCACACUUGUCACAAGUGAUACCCACACUUGUAUGAAUACUCUCAAAGAGCUCUCAAAAUGUCAUCUAAGUUAUGAGAAAAUGACCUAAUAUGUUCUAUUUAUAGCCUAGGUUACAACUUAUUACAAAAUGACUAAAAUGUCCUUAACGAGCCAACACUCGAAAUAUUGUUCCAUUAGUUGGCCAGUCACCCGAUCACGAGUUAUUUACGUAUUGAUCCAUAAUUACGAUCGUACUCGUAUCAUCCUCCCCUUCUGGAAAAAGGAUUCGACCUCGAAUUCGAAUCUUCAAAAUAAUAGAAGAGAUAAAAUAACACAUAUUCCUCAUGACAUGAGGGUUAAAGUUAGCAUAAUCAACAAAAAAACAUCAAACCACGAGUGUACAUUCUACACAUGCCGUGGGAACUUAGGGAAUAAGAUACCCUUCUAAGCACUGAAAGAAAUACUUGUCUAUCCACCUAGUGUACUUUCUGAGAAAAUGACCAAAAGUUAUUCACCGAAAGUUAUGAGAAAAUGACCUAAUAUGUUCUAUUUAUAGCGUAGGUUACAACUUAUUCCAAAAUGACUAAAAUGCCCUUAAUAAGCCAACACUCCAAAGCUUGUUCCAUUAGUUAGCCAGUCACCCGAGCACGAAUUCUUUACGUAUUGAUCCACAAUCACGAUCGUACUCAUAUCAGGUGACCUCAAGGGAACGGAAUUCCCAAGCAACCAACAUUUCAAAACUAGCACCAACAUAAGUGAUAUCCACACUUGUUUACAAGGAAUCCACUUUGCAAGACUCUCUCUCUAGAGCUCUCAAAAUAUAUCAUCAAAGUUAUGAGAAAAUGACCUAACAUAUUCUAUUUAUAGCCUAGGUUAAACUAUUACACAAAAUGACCAAAAGUCCCUUAGAAUUGGGAAGCCUUGGAGUGUUUUGAAAGGCCUUCUAACACUUCAAGGCUUGUACUUCUUAGUUGAGCAGCCCCUAAGCUCGGGUUUCAACGUAUUGGUCUCCAAUCAUGUCCUUGAAAGUUAAGAGGCCUCUUUGUCCUGUAUUAUCCUUCCCUUUUUGAAAAGAUUUUGACCUCGAAUCCGAACCAUGCAAAAUAAUAGGAAGGACAGGCAAACACAAGUUUCUCAAGAUAUGAGGGUUAGGGUUAGUGUAAUCAAUCAUAGCAUCUUGCCAAGGUUGCUCAAACUUCACAUAUUACCAAACAUCCUUCACGACAUUGGGAGAAAAGUCAAUAUUUAAAGGACAAAGGACUUGGCUAAGACUAACAUCAAGAAUUUCCCUCAAGUGAGUUCCAUUAACUACAUAACCAAGCAAACCAUCACAUAUUGGAAUAACUAAGGUUGGAAGCAAGGAGUCUUUAGGAAGUUGACUACCCUUCCAAUCACAAGAAGCCAUGUCUAAAUACCGUAUAUCCCUCUUACCCCAACACCCCUCCAAGAAAGAAUCAACUAGUCUAUCCACAUAAGCAUGACAAGAAACAAGAAAGAAGAGUUGUUUGUCAAGUGUAAAACAUAGGCUCUUCUUUGAAUAGCAAAUAGACUUGAAAAUUGAGAUAGGAAGGUCAUACAUUCCAUGUACAUUCAAGUUAUUCCAAAAGACAUCAUUACCAUAUUUCAAAUGAUCACCGGGAUCAAAUGAGUGGAGUGUCCAUGGGCACGGGUUUAGGACACACUUUCUUUCCCCAACAAUACCACUAAUACGGUCAUAUGUCCCCCCUAUACUAGCAUGGUCAACAACUAAAAUAAUUAGAGGGUCAUUGUUAUCCUUAGUCAUUCGGCCAUUAUUUUCAACAUCACCUUUUUCACACACAAGUGGGUCUUCAUGACUUCCACAAGACAAUGUACUAUCACUUGUCACAAUAGCUUCAACACUAGGUCGACACAAAUCGAUCUUGCUAGAAAAAUCAAUUUUGUCAUCAUUAGGAUCAACUAGUGCAUCCACAAUCUCAAGUUGUAUAUUAUCAUCACAAAAUAAAGGAAUAUUCGGCUCACCUAAAGACAAACUAUCAUUCACACUUAGUUGGUUACUAGCCUCAUUAACUAGAGUGCAAGAGUUAGUUUGAUUACCUUGCAGCCAUGUGGAGCGUGUCCACUCACUGGAACUUGAUUAGGAGGGCUUGGAUGCUCUAUCAAGUUAUCCAACUCCUUGUAACGAGAGUUUUCCGUCCCUCCCAUUCUUUCUUCAAUUCGGCCUAUUAUUCUUUCAAUUAUCUCCAUUCGACUAUUAAGGUCAUGUUUUAUACCCAUUAUGGUAGUCAUCAAAUCAUUCACGGUCACCUUUUUCAAUUCCAUAGUACCUAACAAGAGAAAUUCUAAAACAAAAACACAAAAAACAGCAAACUAGUUAAUGUUAGAAAAAAAAAAAACAUCCUCACAAGCUCUCACACUUUGAAAUGCCUCUCAAUUGGCCUCACAAGUGUUGGUAACUCGUCUAUACUCCAAGGAGAUUACUUGGUACCAAUUGGGGCUAGAGGCCAGAAUAGAUUCUCUUUUGAAACAACUCAAAGAAAAUACUUACGGACUUGAAUCAAGAAACUACAACGAAUUUAAAAAAAGAUAAAAGCACACAAAGAAAUGUAGACACGAAUAAACGGACCCAAAAAUUAAUUUACAACCUAGUAGAUAAUUACUAGUUUGUUAAUUAGCAAUAGAAUCAACAAAAGACAACUAAGAGACAAAGAUUAGAAACUAAGAAAUCAAAAAUUUAAGCCUAAAUUUAUCGUGUGAACAAUAGAACGUGACGUGACAGCCACUUAUUGGUUGUGGUCUUAACACAAUUUAUUUUUCAAAAUUGAAAGUCUUGAACAAUUUGUCAUUUGGAAUUGGUGGGAAUUGAUUUAGGAGAGAAACAAGUCUCUAAAUCCUAUUUUCAAAUUCAAAAGUGGAAGACUUGACUUUCUUGUACCAUUUCCCUAGAACAUGGUCCUUGAAUCAUGGGAAUUUGUUGGAAAGUGGUUGAAAAGGUGAUUGUAAGUCUUUGAGUAGAUGCAAAGUAUUUGUACUACAAGUACUACACCUUAAAACUUGAAGACUGGUUGGACAUGUCUUUCAAGACUAACAACAAAACAUACUCUCUUUCUUCACUUUCUAAAUCAAACAACCACUUUUCUUCAACAAGAUUAGAAGAUGGUGAAGAACACCAAGAACAUAUUUUUGAGUCUUGAAGUCCUAAGGUUCAAGUUGGACCUCCCAAACAACAACAAUAGCUUCUCAAGCUUAAAUUCUACAACACAAUCCCCACAAUACACGUUCAAAACUUGAACCAACAACACAUCACAUGUUCAAGUCUCAAAGCCGCAACAACAAUCGACCAUAAUUUGGUUCACAACAACAACAUCAAUAUUUCAAACUCAAAUCUAGAUUUAGACUCAAGAGUGUUAGUGAUGAAGAAACUAACACUAGAAACAACAAAACAAACAAAAUGACUUCUAGAUCUAGACAAAAAAAAAUAAUUUUUUUGGCCAAGACAAUGACAAAAUCCAGAUUCGGCCAAGAACUAGAACAAGAUGGACAAAUUUGCUUCUUUUUUUAUUUUUUAGCUUUUAAAUAUUUUUUUUUAAUUUUCUAACAAGCAAGCCCAAAAUUGAUCUUAUAGGAACAAGAUCUAACCAUUCUAUAAUACCAAAUGAUACAAGAUCGAUAAGAAAAACACGAAAACAUACAUCAAAUUAGUCCACAAUCUUAAGGAUCCGAGGACCAAGAUAGAGACCACUCUCGAAUUCUCUACCAACAACAAGAAUACAAGAGUUAGUGGUGUAUUUGGCACCAAAACAACAACCCAAACUAAUGUUAACAACAAUUUAUGUUGAGAGCAAAAUGAACAAUAACAAUAAUGAAGUAGAUAGAUCGAUAGGUAACUUGACACACAAAUGUACAAACACAAUGAACCUAAGUGUAUAUUGAACACAAAGACCCAAGAAUUCAUACAAGUAACACCAAGCUCUAUGGUGAACUCAAGGGAACGGGAUUCCCAAGCAAUCAAUGUUUCAAAACUAGCACCAACACAAGUGAUAUCCACACUUGUUUACAAGGAAUCCACCAUGCAAGACUCUCUCUCUAGAGCUCUCAAAAUAUAUCAUCAAAGUUAUGAAGUUAUGAGAAAAUGACUUAACAUAUUCUAUUUAUAGCCUAGUUUAAACUAUUACACAAAAUGACCAAAAUAUCCUUAGAAUUGGGCAGCCUUAGAGUGUUUUGAAAGGCCUUCUUGACACUUCAAGGCUUGUACUUCUUGGUUGGGCAGCCCCCAAGCUCGGGUCUCAAUGUAUUGGUCUCCAAUCAUAUCCUCAAAAGUUAAGAGGCCUCUUCGUCACGUAUCACUUUAUUAGGGUAAAUAGCAGGUACCUAUUCUCAUUAACCCUGUGAAGAUCCUAAACUCUGCAAACGGAAUAAAAGCUAGAUAUAAAGCAAUGGUAACUAGUGAAACAGAAGUCUUACUGCAAUUAAACGAACCUUACAACCGACAAUGAAGCUAGCUGCAAAAAACUCAUUUUCUCGGCCUAUAUGGAAAUUUAUUUGAAAUAAUCCUAUCUUCGUUUGAGAGUAAUAUUGGAAAUAUGAUCCUAUCAAAAUUAUGAAGGUUGGGUACGGAACUAAUAAAUGACUAAAUAUCUCAUGUUUCUUGAAAUUAUCUUAGUCAUUUUCAAAGUUGCCGAUAUAGAUUAACUUCUUUCAACUUUCAAAGAAGUUGCUGAAACACUAAAAUUACUUAAGUUGUACCAGUCUGUCAUUGGAGAGGCUGGUGUAAGGUGGUUGAUUGGAUUGUUUAAUGAAAUCUUCAGGACGGUAAAGAUGCCCAAGGCUUGGAGGUGGAGUACCAUGAUCCCUCUCUAUAAGAAUAAGGGGGACAUUUAGAGUUGCAAUAACUAUAGGGGGAUUAAGUUAUUGAGUCACUCUAUGAAGAUCUGGGAGAGAGUGGUCGAGGUGAGGCUGAGACGGAUAGUGUCUAUUUCGAAAAAUCAGUUCGGAUUUAUGCCCGGCCGCUCGACGACGGAGGCAAUCCACCUGGUACGGAGGUUGGUGAAACAGUAUAGGGAAAGGAAGAAGGAUCUGCACAUGGUGUUUAUCGACCUGGAGAAGGCUUACGAUAAAGUCCCCAGGGAGGUGCUUUGGAGAUGCUUGGAGGUGAGUGGAGUACCGCUGGCAUAUAUCAGAGCAAUUAAGGAUAUGUAUGAUGGAGCAAAAACCCAGGUGAGGACGGCGGGAGGAGACUCAGAGCAUUUCGCUGUCCUGACAGGAUUGCAUUAGGGAUCUGCUCUUAGUCCCUUUCUGUUUGCGUUGGUGAUGGAUGUAUUGACGCGGCAUAUUCAAGGGGAGGUGCCGUGGUGUAUGUUUUUUGCAGACGAUGUAAUUCUGAUAGAUGAGACUCGAGGGGGUGUGAAUGACAAAUUAGAGGUGUGGAGGCAAACUCUUGAGUCUAAAGGGUUUAGGGUGAGCAGAAGCAAGACAGAGUAUGUGGAAUGCAAGUUUAAUGACGUGAGGCGGGAGAAUGAGGUAGUAGUGAAGCUGGAGGCACAGGAGGUAUGUAAGAGGGAUAAGUUCAAGUAUCUCGGGUCCGUGAUCCAGAGUAACGGUGAGAUUGACGAGGAUGUCUCACACCGUAUUGGGGCGGGAUGGAUGAAGUGGAAACUCGCAUCGGGGGUGCUGUGUGAUAAGAAGGUGCCGCCCAAGCUUAAAGGCAAAUUCUAUAGGGUGGUAGUCCGUCCGGCCUUGCUGUAUGGAGCGGAGUGUUGGCCAGUUAAGAACUCCCACAUCCAAAAAAUGAAGGUGGCAGAAAUGCGGAUGUUGCGCUGGAUGUGUGGACUGACCCGAGGGGAUAGAGUUCGGAAUGAGACUAUCCGGGAGAAGGUUGGUUGGUAGGGGUUUUAUUCCUGUUAUGAUUUCGUGUUCCGUGUUCCAUGUUUUAUUACGAAUCUGUGUGCUUUCCUCUGCUUUCCUCUGUUUUAUAUUACUUAUGGGUGCCGUAUUUAUGUUAUGUAAUCUGCUUCUGUGCUUUACUAUGUGUUUGUGUGGUAUCUCAUGCCUUGAGCCGGGGGUCUAUCGGAAACAACCUUUCUACUUCUUCAGAGGUAGAGGUAUGGACUGCGUACAUCUUACCCCCCCAGACCCCACUAGGUGGGAAUACACUGGGUUUGUUGUUGUUGUUGUUGUACCAGUCUGUCAUUAUGCAACACCAACCUUUAACGAAUGUCGACAAGCUUGUGUCUCCCUAUCAAGUAUCGAUACUACGUUCUCAGCAGCAGGAGAAAGAUAUCUACCAAUGCAGGGCUGGAAUCUCACCUGAGCUGUUCCACCCUGCUCGAGACAUGAAACAACAUUUAGAAGAGAUGGGAGGAUCAUAUAAUUUUGCAUCAGCAUACCUGAUCCCCCGUGCUAAUGCACAUAUAAUAGUAGAUGAAGAAUUUUUACCUUGAACACACUUGUACAGCUACCAUUUUUUAUACUCCAGAAUCUUAUUUCACCAUCACCAUCACGAGAAUAGAUGAGAGCUUCAUUAUUAGGAUGGAAAUCAAGUGAUGUUACACCAGCAGAAUGCCCAGUGAAAGUCCAAAGUGAGUAGCUCGGCUGUAAAUAAUUACAGAGUACAUUAGGAAAACUUCAAGAAGAACAAACAAGUGAGUCUUUCUGUUUUUUUCUUCAUUGGUCAUUUAAGUAACUGCACCAUGAUCCUCUUUUCUUAAUUGAACAUUUAAGUAACUACACCAUGAUCUUCCUAAAGAUGUUCAUUAAUGCAAUUUUAUCACAACCUCUCCUUGAAACCAUUCAAAUGGAUUUGCAUUCACAAAAUAACUGUCACCAAGGUCUUCCACCCAUUCUAAAGAAGACAAUUUUGUCUUGUUUCAAUGUCCAACAAGGAUAUGGCCCUUCUGAAAGUAAUAUAAAUUUCAUCCAUCCAGUCUUGAUCCAUGAUAAAAUUUACUCUAGCGGAUUCCAUCAAUUUCAAUUACAUAUUACUCGUUUUUUAAACAACUAUAAACUUCUUCACUGGGUGUGUAUUUGUUGUUGAAACUUCUUCCAGACCACACAUGGUAAAAUCAGAUAAAAAAUAUUGACAAACAAAAGCUCACAGAACAAGACAAAUAUUCUAGAAAACCGAAGAUAAUAUUAUGUUUUGUUUAAUUAACCAAUACGGCAAGACGUUUGAUAUGUUACAUAGGAGAGAUAUCAGAAUGCACAGCCUAGAAUCACUAAAGACAUAUAUCCCAAUACAGAUAAUUAGCACACUCAAGGAAAUAACUUGGAUGCAAAAAAUCUCAAUCCAAAACGUACAAGAGGCUAAUAAUGAGAAAUAAAUAGUCAAACACUAACGACGGUGGUAACUAACAUUGUCAGCAUCCCAAAAAAAGAUGUUGCAAGUUUUGCCAUGCUUGGACUGAAACGAACAUCAGUAAUGAGUGAUGACUGCUCCUCAAGUGUUGGUUUUUCCUUUAAUGUAUCAGUCUACCAUGAAACAUCCUAAAAUAAAAGUCAGACAAUAAGCAGUACAAGUUAUUUUUUAAGAACCAUAACAGUAAGGCAUUGUCAUGGCAAGAUUUUUGAUACUUGUAGACUAACCUUUUGGUCAUGGGACCACUAGCUAACAGUUUUCCAUUGGAGAAGUGACAACAAACAACUUCAUUGCCACUGGCCCCAACAGAAUUUACUUCAUUAAAUGUAAACCCUAUAAUCAAAGGCUAUUCCAGUCAAAAUAUGCCCCGAUGCACAAUUCUUAAUAAACUAGGCAGCCAACACAUUUCCAAGUUGACAAAUUAUACAUGUAGAUUUAGUGUAGGGCAUUCAUACUCUUUGUUACUAAGGAACUCUAUGAAUUGACUUAAAAAUAAAUACAAAUCUUCACAACCAACACCCAGAUCAGCAAAACAGCAAUUUCAUAAACUAUUACGAACUGUUAAGUUCCACAUCGGUUGAGGGGAUGGGUUGUUGUCUCAAAUCUAGAGCGAUACUCUCCUCGGGAGCUUGAUUGGGCACAAGAUCCAUAUCUUAAACAAUGCAUUAGAGCCAGCUACAUUGUGAUCCUGUUGCUGUGUUUCUCAAUGUUGAGUUUUGUGUUAUAUUAACACACUCCAGUUGAUCAGUCCUAGGCAUGCAGGAAAGUGUUAAAUAUUAAGUUCCAUAUUCGUUUAGGGAAUGGAUUGUGGUCUCUUUAUAUGGCUUUGUGUAAUCCUCUCCUAGCUUAUGGAGUUGAGCUAGCCCAAGAUCCCCUUUUUUACAUGAACCAUAGAUAUACACCAUAAAGAUACAGAAAUAUUGGAAAGAAAUGCACCACAAAAGGAACACUCUUUUGUAGGCGAUCUCCGCAAAACCUUUUUUUAUUGCUCCUCUGUAAAAUCAUCAUUCUCUUUCUUUAACUUUACAUUUUUUUUUGUGUGUGUGUUGGGGGGGGGGGGGGGGGGGGAGCAGACACUUACCUAAACUAGAGGCAUCCUACAGAAAUCAAAGUAUUAAACACGUUAAGAUUGAGUUAAUUAUUGAAAGGCAUAGAGAGAUGAAAAGGAUUAUGGCAGUUGCUAACUAGUUAUGAGAGCUUCCUUGAUAAAUUCUUACAUAACAUUUAAAACACAAAAGGAGGAGGAAUCACAUAUACAACAGCUGAUUAGUGCAAGAACCCACAGAUUCAGGACAAAACCUUAAGCCAGGGAAUCAAGUGAACUCACCUUACUAACCUUUACUAAAAUCCAUACCACGAACAAUAACAUCUCGAGUUAAUAGCUGAAAUUUUUUUUUUCAAAAGUUAAUAGCUGAAAGAAGUUGGUUUCCAAACCUUCGUCCAAGAUUGCUACCUUCAUAAAUGCAUCAUCCAAUCUUUCCUCGUAAUCUUUGUAGCCAAAUGCAGGAGAAUAAUGGUGCAAACUAACAAAUAAAAAUACAAAUAUAAGUGUGAAAUAUAAAAUAUAAAUAUUAGCACGAACUUUAAAAUACUAAUAUUAAUAUAGUUGUAAAUAUAAAAAUAUAAAUGAUGGUGUGACUACAAAUACAAUAAAUAAUUGUGGUAUUUAUGUUAUUGCCCAUGACUUGUGCUUGACUAAUCAUAUUUUUUAAAAAUAAAAAAUAUAAAAUAGAACAAAAAUGAUAAAAAAAAAUAAGUACAAAUAAGAAAAAAAAUAAUAUAAGAAAAGAAAAAAAGAAAAAGAAAUAGAAUUUAGAGAUUAAAGAGAAAAAAAAAAACAAAUGGAAAGAAACGAAAAAAAUAAAAAUAGAAAAAAAUAAAAAGAAAGAAGAAAGAAAAAAUGGGAAAAACACAAAAAAGAAAAAUAUAUAAAAAAACCAAAAAAAUAAUGGUAGCAUAUUUGGCGAGACUAAACAUUUAGUGUAUUUAUAUUUUUUAUGAAUACAAACUACUGAGUAAAAGUGAAUAUAGUGGUUGUGAAUCGAAUACAACGACUAUAAAUGAUAAUUAUGUAAAAUGUGGCUAUGAAAGAGGAUUUUAUAGCAAAGUUUUAUUAUUUUUGAAAUAUGUCCAUAAAUAAUUAGUAUAAUAUGAAUAAAAAUAAUUAUGAUGGAGAUAAUAACAUAAAAAUAACAAUAACAAUAAAUUCAGUGUAUUUUUAUCUAAUAGAUCUGGUGACAAUAAGAUGAAAACAAACUAUGGAAAGACUUGUCACAAUAAUUAAACCUUUUUUUAUUUCAUUCUUUAGGUACAAUAAUUGAACUUUUUUAAUUGAAUUUUUUUUCGUUGAACUUUUGAGGUACAAUAAUUGAACUUCUUUUUGUUUCACUCUGGAGGUACAAUAAUUGAACUACUGUUAGAUAUAGAUAUAUACAUCUGCCUUGUGAUUCUCGAGCAACUACUUUCUCUCUCCUAAUUGGGGGUACAACAUUUACAAACUUUCCAAAUGUUGACAAAUGCAUCGGUGUAUGGAGAAAUAGGUUGUAAAUGCUUUGCAUUAUCUACUUCUCCGGAUAAAAGAAUAUGUUUUUUUUAAAUCUCCAUUACAUAUUAGUUGAACACUUUUUAUUUUGUAAUAUAUUUUAAGAAAUUUUAUUUUUUCUUAGAAAUCAUAUUUUUUAAAAAAUUUAAUCAAAUAAAGAGAAAAUGAAAAAAUAUUUUUCACUAUGCCAAACAAACGAACUCCUCGUCUUCUAUAUUGUCCUUUUUAAUAGUAUCACUUCACUAUAUUUAUCAAGUAUAUUUUUUUUAGAGUCAAACUACGUUAGCUUGGUUUGUUUGAUCAAUAUAUUAAGAUAUAUAAUUUCAUCAAAUUGAUAUGAUAAGAAUUACAACUUAUACCACUUUUUUGUAUAAUUUUUGAAUUUAUAAAUUAUGAUUUUCAGAUAUAAAACUUAUCUAAUUAAUUUACCUCUUUCAUAUGUUGGUCAAAUUGAUUCUUGAUAAGUAAAAUAUAACAACUAAUCUCUCUCUCUAUAUAUAUAAUAUUAAAAGUGUGAAAGCCCUUAUAAAUUUUUUUGACCUUCAUUAAAAGUUUUCGCAAUAAAUAAAAUUAUCUUUUUACUUAUUUUUCGAAUUAUUAUAUUACUAUAACUAAAAUAUUUAAAAUAAAAAAAUAUUAAAAUAUAUGGUAAGAGAUUAGAAAAAUUAAUAAUUAAAGAGUCAUCAAAUAUAUGGUAAGAAUAUAUACAUAUGUAUUUUUAUAAUUAAAAGAUUCCAUUUUUAUAAUUAAAAGAUUCCUAAAAUAUAUAGUAAGGGAAAAAUACAUAUGGUAAAAAAAAUUAAGUAAUAAUUAAUAUAGAGUACACAAUUCAUGAGUUCUGCUAAGUGAUGUAUAUGGUAAAAAAAUACUCGACAUUUCAGCUCACUUUCCAACCCAAUUCAUGCAGAAAAAGUUCAUCCACUUUUUUGGCUUAUUUUUGUUAACAAAAUUUUCAAGCUUAGUAAAAGUAUAGGUUUCUUCAUUUAUAGGUUUCUCAUUCUUUUUAUUCACUCGAUUUUGUUCCCUCUUUAUUUAGGUUUUAGGUCAUCAUUUUAAAUUUUUUUAUAGAGAAAAAAGAUAUCUGAGAAAAAAGAUAUCUUAGGUUGAAAUAAUGAGUACACGUGAAACAGAUGAGAGUCCAUGUAGAUUGUGCUGGAUGUGAGAGCAACGACUGAAAAAUCUCUAAAAUUUGAAGUAAAUUACACCCUUUUAUGACUUCAAAUUAUGAUAUUUUUUUUGAAUAAGCUAUAUAUAAUUAUUUGCAAUUGUGUCACGGCCCACAUGGCCAUGAGUGACACCUACACUAACCUUCCUGUGGGAGAACCAUUUAAAUCAAAUCAUUAUCCAAUCAAACUAUUAAUGGUUUGCACCAUUAUUUAUAUUUUAUAUAAUUUGAACAUGUAUUUUAAAGAACUGUUUUGUAUUUGUAUUUUUUAAUUGACUGCAUAUUUUAUUGGAUUAUAUUUAUAUCAUGGUUUCAUUGGGUUUGUAUAUUUAGAUUAUAGAAUUAUACUUGUAUUUGUAUUUUAUUUUUGUCGAUACAUUUUUAUUUUUAAAGAAUUAUUUUGUAUUUGUAUUUGUAGUUGAUUGCAUAUUGUAUUUAGCCGUAACUAUAUACAAUUUAUCAUUUGUAUUUGUAUACAAAUAAGUAAAUGCAUUAAUUGUAUUUUCUUCAUUCUAAAAUAUAUAAAUAUGUAAUGUAUCAUUUGAUACAAUGUACCCUUUUGUAUUUGUAUAUCAAAAUUAUCAUUCAUAUUUGUAAAUAAACACAUAUCACUUGAUACAAAUACAAUUACAAACAAAUGCUUUUACAAAUACAAUAUGUAUUUGUAUAAAAGUUUGAAUUGUAUUUAUUUGUACCAAUAAAUACCACUCGUAUCAAUAAAUACAAACAAGUAUUCGUAGAAAGAAAAUCAAUCGUUCCUUUUCAAUAAUUAAAAAUUACAAAUGAUAGUUCACACUUGUAGUUGUAUUUUAUAGUUCUCAGUUUUAUUUGUAUUUUAUAUUUCGCACUUGUAUUUGUAUUUGCUAGUUCGCAAAAACAAGAAGAAAAAAAAAGAAGGAGAAUAAUAGAAAAUAGAGAAAAAAUACAAAAGAAAAUGAAAAAAAAAAGGAGAAAAAAGAAAAAUAAUAAAAGAAAAAAAACAAAAUAGAAAAAAGUGAAAAAAGAAAAAAAGAAAAAAAGAAAGAGAAAACAACAAAAAAAGGAAAAGAAAAAAAAACUGAAAAAGGAUUAAAAAAAAGGAGAAUAAUAAAAAAUAGAAAAAGAGAGAAAAUACAUAAGAGAGACUAUGAAUUGUAAUUAGGAAUAAUUAAUAGACAAGAAGGAGCUAUGAAUUGUAAUUAAUUGAAACUCAGACUAAAUAGGAUAAUUGAGAAUCUAUAUUUGGUAAGAUAUGUAGUUAUCCCAUUAUUUAUCAAGACAAUCACGCAUGACUGCAGGUUGCUUUUCCAUAUGCCAUGUUUUAAAAAUAAAAUCACAUUUUAUUUUAAAAUUAAUUUUGAAGAAAGGUUGUGGAGGGGGUAAAAGGUUUUUGAGGGGCUUUCGGCUGAAGCAGACAACAGGUUGGUAUGUCUGCUUCAAUCAUAGUUUUUCUAUAUCAUUCCUAAUUAAUUAUUAUAAGUUAUUAAUGUAUUCAAAAAUAAAUAAUACUGUACAACAAUAUAUCAAGUGUAUUCCCAUAUUGUGGAGUCUGGGAAUGGUAAAGUGUACCACAACCUCAGGUGAAGUAGAGAAGUUGUUUUCAAUAAAUUCCGGCUCAAAAUAGAUAACCGUAUAACAAAUACAAAAACAUCAAAGUAUAUAAGCUAAUGCAGUAUGCAAAAUAAACUAACACUGCUAGACAAUACUAUAAAACAAUACAACCACAAAACAAUACAAUAUAUUGUUUAUCGGAAAUCAUAAACAUCAUGCAAACACCACGAACAUGAAAUUUCAAACACAAACAAAGUAUGUUUUCUAUUGUUACAGACACACUCCUACCCCCUAACCCUCUACCCUAAUUCGCGUCCUCCGCACCUUCCUAUCAAGGGUCAUAGAAAAUAAAUAAUAUUUAAUAAAAAAAUAAAAUAGACAUUUAUGACAGGUCUGUUUCAGCUACUUCAAUCAUAAUAUUACUAUAUCACCCCUAAGUAAUUAUUAUAAGUCAUUUAAGUAUUAAAAAAUAAUAAUAUUUAAUAAAGAAGGUGAAAUAGACAUAAAAUAAUAAAUAAUCUCUUGAUGUUUAAAUGAAUUUGACAUCUUAUAUGAGCCCCCCUUCAAUUUUUUCCACAAGUAAUUUUAAUAGUAAUUUUGCUAUAUCACUUCUAAUUAGUUAUUAUAAGUCAUUAAAGACAUGUUUGUUGUGCUGCUUUAGUCGUAAUUUUACUAUAUCACCUCAUGAUAAGUCGUCAAUUCGACAACUUGCUAGUACCUUUUAAGCCUAAAUUAUCAGGUUUUUCCAUUUAUUUUGAUUGUGCUCUCAUACUUAAUGUUCAUUUAUGUAGGUAAAAUUAAAAAGAGAAGAUUGGAAAAAUCAUGCAAGUUACUCAAGUCAUCAAGAGGUCAAAUGUGAAGGAAAAAAAUCAUCCGCUUUGAAUCCGCUCAAGCAGAUCAAGAACAUGGGGGCAGUUUUGUAAUUUCCAUCAAAUGUAGAGGGGUUUAAAAGGAGGCUUUAGCCUUAUUUUCUGACCUAAUUUUUGAGACUUGGAGAGUAGCCUCCCUUUCAGUUUUACAGCUUCUUUGCAGUAAUUUUUGGGGCUGCUCUUUUCUCUCUUAGCAUCUAUUUUCUCUCUUGUGAGAAUUUUUGUACCAACCUUGACUGAAAAAUAUAUUAUAAAGAUUUUCUUUUGAAGAAUUAUUGAAAUCUCCAAGUGUGGAACUACAUUGUUUCUAACUCUCAUGGAUGAAGUUGAUGAUAAAUUUGGUAUAUUCUUAUCCUUUUUUUCUAUGAGUAGCUAAACUUUAAAUCUUGGGGUUAUGCUUGCUUAAGAAGUGGUAGUGCAUGGAUUGUAGCUAGUUAUUUAUCUCAUUAGUUAGUUGUAAUGGGUGUUGCAUUUAUUUUAUGAAAUUAACUAAGAGUUGGAGGUUGUAAACUCCAACCAUCCUAGAUCUCAUGUCAUUCUUGAAAGAGAGGAUAUGAGUGAGGAAUAAAUGCAACCAAUAACUUGAUUCGUUCCAUUUAAUGACAUCCCUUAGACAUAAGGAUGUAAAUUGAGGCAAUAGAUGUGGAAAAUUUUUACACUUGUGAGGUGUUCGAAAGAACCCAUUUGUGAAAUUUGGUGUUGUAAUUGAAAGAUUAAUACCAAUACAUUGACAUCUAGCCUACCCAUGACCUUUAGCGAAAAGUUGGAUAAAUGGCUAAAUACCCAUGUACGAUCCUACACCUAUAAUUGCAUAACCCCAAGGCUUACUCUCAAUUGAAUUCACUCGUAGCAUUUUUCAAUAUCAAGAUAGUACUCUAAAAAUUGUAGUAAUUGUCACUAUAAAUAUAUUCAAACUAAAUCCCCCAUUUUAUAUUUAUGCUUGUUUUAUUCACACUACGGUUCAUCUUUUAGUAACUAUCAAUACUCUUGAGUUUUGAAUUCUAUGCUUUCACUCCUUGUGGAUUCGACCCCAACCUAAGUUGGGUUAUUAUAUUGACAACAAUCGCUUACACCCAUUCAAGAGUGUAAUUUGAGCGUUAUAAAAAAUGGUGCCAUUGUCGGGGAAUGAAACAUAGUUUUCACUCUUGCAGUGUAUUUAGUUACUUUGGGUUAGUUGUAGUGUUUUAUUUUACAUUGUUUAGUAUUUUUAUUUUUUCUCAGGGGUGCAUAAUAGUAGACACGAUACUAUGAAUCAACACAACGGUUAUACCAGGUCGAUUGAUGGGCAUCAUGAGGAUGAAGAUCACCUCGGAGAUGUAGGCCGAGCUAGUGCCAUUCAUAUUCUACUGACAAAAGGAAAUUGAGCAUUCACAUUACUAGUGUGAUGAUGCACUUGCUUCAAAUGAAAGGGUUAUUUGGAGGCAAAGAAAAUGAGGAUUCUAAUCUCCACUUGACGAAUUUUAUUGAGGUGUGUUCUCCAUUUGACAUGUCCCACAUAUCUCAAGAGUCGAUCCAGUUGCGUCUUUUCCCAUUCUCAUUGACGAGAAAAGCAGGUUUAUGGUUGCAAUCUUUGCCCACAGGAUCUAUCACCUCAUGGUUUGGACUCACAGAGGCAUUCUUGGAAAGAUACUUUCCUCAUUCUCGGAUGUUGCAACUAAGGGAUGAAAUCAUCAAUUUUCAUCAACUUAAUGGUGAACCAUUUUAUGAGGCUUGGCAACAAUUCAACAGCAAGUUAAUGCAAUGCCCAAAUCAUGAAGUUCCGGAUAAAAUGCUCCUUCAAAUUUUUUAUAGGGCACUGGGUUCAUUGAACAAGACGGUAGCUGAUAAUGCAUCCGGGGUUCUCUUGUUAGACUAUCCUAUGGUAUUGCAUCAACUGUAUUAGAUCAAGUGGCCAAACAAAGCAGAGGUUGGCAUCAAGAGAUACCGAGGUGGCCGUGGGGGCUCCUUCCCCAUCUUUUAUGAGCCACGAGUAACAGAAAAAAGAUAAAGAAAGAGAUGCAAAUAUGGCUAAGGUGAUGACGCAACUUGAUCUUCUCACCAAGCAUGUGAUGGGAGUACCUCCUAAGGAGGUUAAUGCCAUAGAUUCUAAGGGUUCUAAAGCUUAUGAUGAUGAUGAAACGGAGGUCCUUGAUGAAUAAAUUUGGUUCUUGACGAACCAAGCGGGGGGUUUCCGCCCUACCUAACGAGUGUUGAGGGGACCAAUAAAACAGUAAGAGAUAUAAAAGGUGAAUUUUCACAACUAAAUCAAACUAUGAUGUCUCACUCUACCUCUAUCAAGCAACUUGAAACUCAAUUGGGCCAAAUCUCGGCACAACUGAAUGUAAGACCAAAGUGUGGAUUACCUAGUGACAUGUUGUUAAUCCAAAAAAUGAUGCUGAUAUCAUGGUUAUUGUCACUAGGAGUGGUUGGACUUUUGGUAAAGAUGUUGUUAAUCUUGGUGAAUACACCAAUGAAAAGGCAAAUGAGAAACAAACCAAUGCAAAAUUAAAGCAGUGAGAAGAGCUAGUUGAUAAUGAUCCAAAGCCAAAUGAGCCAAGUGUUGAACGACCAAUGGUAAUUGAAGAAGACGUUGAUAGUGAGAGAACUCCGAAGGCAAUUGAUGAUGAUAUUCCAAAAAUGGAUGAAACUCCAAUUGUUGCAUUGCCACAAAUCAAAAUUCCUCCCCUAUUUCCACAAAGACUCAAGAAGAAGGAUGAUAACUCCAAGUUCAAAAAGUUUCUUGUGAAGUUUAGCAAGCUAUCGGUGAAUAUUCCUUUGCUUGAAGCCUUGAAAGAAAUGCUUGGGUACUCUAAAUUCAUGAAGGACUUUGUUACCUAUAAAAGAGUCAUAGAUUUUGAAACAAUUGAGGUAACCCAUAAUUGUCGUGCUAUAAUGUCUAGCAUAAUGGUGGUAAAGAAAGAAGACUCGGUGCAUUCACCAUUCCAUGCACUAUCGGGGUAUACAAGUUCGGAAAAACAUUGUGUGACCUUGGGGCAAGUAUUAAUUUGAUGUUGUUCAUUGUGUUUUAAGAGUUAGGCUUGGGUGCUCCUAAGCCUACCACUAUGAGGCUCCUAAUGGCCGACCGUUCAAUCAAAAAGCCCGUUGGUAUGUUCUAUGAUGUUUUGGUAAAAGUUGACCGGUUUAUCUUUCUGGCCUGCUUCAUAAUUCUUGAUUGUGAAGUUGAUCAUGCGGUCCUAAUCAUUAUUGGUAGACCAUUCUUAGCUACUUAUGGACUUGCAAGUUAUUUUGAUUGGAUGUCGAAUGUAGGGAGAUGAAAUUUUGAGUAAACAAUGAAGAAGUCUCCUUCAAUGUGUGUAAGUCUAUGAAGCAACCUAUGGACUUGCAAGUUAUUUUAGUGAUUGAUGUUUUUGAUAAUGAGGUAGCGAAUACCGUUGAGAUGAAUCUUGUGAAUGGCCCCUUGGUGGGUGUAUUGUGGAAUGAAAGUGAGGUAGUCGAAGAAUAUGAUGAUGUGCGAGCUUUAUUGACGGGUCGUGGAUCUUACACCAAGAACUCGUUCAAAUUAGAUCUUGAUUUAAGGAACAGUAAGAGUCCACCUGCCAAGCCGUCCAUUAUUGAACCACCUCAACUCAAAAUUAAGCCGUUACUAUCCCAUCUCUAAUAUGUUUUCCUGGGUGAAGACAAUACAUUACCAAUUAUUGUAGUGGGUGACGUUGAACCGUGCCAAGUGGAUGCCUUGAAAUCAAUUGUAAAAAAGUUCAUUCGUGCUAUUGGAUGGACUAUCACAGACAUUAUAGGCAUUCCUCCUGGAAUUUGUUCUUAUAAAAUCAAGCUAAAUGUUGACCAUGUUCCUAGUGUAGAACACCAAAGGAGACUCAAUCAACUAAUGCAAGAGGUCAUCAAAAAGGAAAUCAUCAAGUGGCUUGAUGCAUGAGUAGUUUACCCAAUUUCCAAUAGCACGUGGGUGAGCCCGAUCCAAUGUGUCCCCCAAAAGGGCGGCAUGACAAUGGUUCCUAAUGAUAAUAAUGAUCUUAUACCAAUGCGUCCGAUCACGGGUUGGAGAGUAUGUAUGGAUUAUUGCAAAUUAAACUCGUAGAUCGAGAAAAACCAACUUUCCCAUGCCCUUUAUGGAUCAAAUGUUGGAUAGACUAGCAGGUCGAGGUUGGUAUUGCUUCCUUGAUGGGUAUUCGGGGUACAAUCAGAUUUGCAUCGCCCCGGAAGACCAAGAAAAGACCACUUUCACUUGCCCCUAUGGCACAUUUGCUUUCAAGCGCAUGCCUUUUGGGUUAUGAAAUGCACCGGCUACAUUCCAACGAUGUAUGUUGUCUAUUUUUGCUGAUAUGGUAGAGGAUACAAUUGAGGUUUUCAUGGAUGACUUUUCCUUGGUUGGGGAUUCAUUUUAUUCUUGCCUCACUCACUUAAUUAAAGUCCAUGAACGAUGCGUGGAGACAAAUCUUGUUUAGAAUUGGGGAAAAUGCCAUUUCAUGGUCAAGGAAGGCAUUGUUUUAGGCCACAAAAUUUUAGGAAAGGGCAUCCAAGUGGAUCAAGCAAAAGUUGAGGUGAUUUCUAGUUACCUCUACCGAUCACCGUGAAGGGCGUUAGAAGUUUUCUUGGUCAUGCCGAGUUCUUUCGGUGAUUCAUUAAAGAUUUUUUGAAGAUUGUUCACCCUUUGUGCAUGCUCCUUGAAAGGAGGCAAAAUUUGAGCUCGAUGGGAAUUGUGUAAAAGCUUUCAAUUGUCUCAAGGAACUCCUGGUGUCGGCUCCUAUCAUAGUAGCUCCAGAUUGGUUAUCGCCCUUUGAGUUAAUGUGUGAUGCAAGUGGUGUUGCUCUAGGUGCAGUUUGAGGACAAAGGAAAGAGAAGUUGUUCCACCCAAUUUAUUAUGCAAGCAAGACGCUGAAUGAUGCUUAAAAGAAUUACACGGUUACAGAACAAGAGUUGUUAGUGGUGGUGUAUGCUUUUGAGAAGUUUCGAGCCUAUUUGUUAGGAACGAAAGUGGUUGUAUACACAGACCACGCAACUCUUAAUAUUUUAUGGAUAAGAAAAAGGCAAAACCUUGAUUGAUUAUGUGGAUAUUGCUCUUACAGGAGUUCAACAUUGAAGUGAAAGAUCGAAAGGGGUGCGAAAAUCAAGUAGCUGACCAUCUUUCACGCCUUGAAUCCAAUCAUGAGAAGUUGGGUGAGAUUGAUUGAAGUUUCGAAUCGUGAAAUCAAGUCCAUCCUUGAGAAAACUAUGAAUCUUAGCCGUACGAAUUGCGCGAGACAACUCAAUGAUGCUCUUUAGGCAUAUAGAACGGCUUACAAAACUCCUAUCGGAAUAUCCCCUUACCAAUUGGUAUUCAGGAAGGCUUUUCACUUACCCAUUGAGUUAGAACAUAAGGCUUUAUGGGCUUUGAAGAAGUUGAACAUGAACUGGGAGGACGCUUCAAAAUCGAGAGUGAAUCACCUUCAUGAGUUAGAAGAGUUUUGACUCAAAGCAUAUGAGAGCUCGGUGUUGUACAAAGAGAAGAUGAAGAGAUGGCAUGAUGCCAAAAUCCUAAAACAAGAGUUUCAUAUGGGUGAUGAAGUACUCAUUUUCAAUUCAAAAUUGAAACUCUUUGUAGGGAAGCUUAGAUCGAAGUGGUCGGGCCCGUUCGUGAUCUCGAAUGUUUACCCGAGUGGAGCUAUUGAGUUGGUAGAUCAUGAGAAGAAUAAAUUUAUGGUGAAUGGCCAACGAUUAAAGUACUAUUAUGUGGGUGAACCCAGAGUAACUAAACUUGAGUCACUUCGUUUUAAAGAUCCAAAAUGAUGAGAAAUUAAUGUCGUGCCUCGACUGUAACUAUGGCGCUUCUUGGGAGGCAACCCAAGAUUUAUUUUUGAUGUUUUAAAUAUUUUUAAUGUUAAUGCUAGCUUGAAGAACCAAUUAUUGAGGAUAAACCUGUAGAACCAGCUGCAAAUACUGCCCUGGAAUGCGCUGGAAAUGCUUCAGCAUUCCAGGCGCACAUCCAUCGCAUACCAGGCGCAGAUGGAAUGCGAACAAGGCCAAGGAUUCUGUGGCGACAUGCGCUGGAACUGCUGGCGCAUUCCAAGCACAGUUCAGUUGCAGAAGAGCUGCAGAAGGGCUAUUUUCACUGGAGGUUGCUGCCUUGACAUGCGCUGGACGUGCCCAAGCAGUCCGGGCGCACUUCAGACGCAAAACAAGCUGGUAUUUUCUGCCUUGGCCAUCCACUGGAUAUGCGCAAGAAUUCCAGGCGCAGUCCUGGUGCAUGUUGGACGCAAGGCUGCUGGUUCAUACUGCCUAAGUGUGCGUUGGAACUGCUGGCGCAUUCUAAGCGCAGAUGGGUCGAAAUUCAGUGUAUGAGCAAUGGGUUGGAUCUUGUUGGGCUGACCCGAACCGGUCAGCCCAAAAUGUUUUAAAAUACAUAAAAGCAAGCCAAAACUGUCUUUAACACUUACAUUUUUCAUCACAACUAAAUUCUAACGUCUCUUUUCUCUCAAGCUUCACAUUUUCUCUUUCUUUGACCAAAAUUGAGCUAACAAGAAGUUAAUAAUUCUCUUGAACUUGUGCUUAGUUUAUUCUUCCCUUCUCUUACAUCAAACAAGGUAUGCUUUUUUCACUAUUUCACUUUUGAAUUCUCUUAAAAAUGGACAUUGUGAUUCAUACCUCAUUUUGAUUGAUCUCUUGAAAUUGGUUUGUGUGAGUUAGUUGGGAUGAUUUGUACUCAUUGUAGUCUUAAGUUGUCAUUGGUACCUUGUUUCACUUAUUUGCCUAAUAAUUCUCUCUUGAAUGAAACUAGUACACCAUGUAUUUGAUAAAAUGGCCAUUACCCCCUUUCUUGCUUAUUUUGUGUGGUGGUUGGCUGAAGUAUGAUACUAUGAGCAUCUUGAAUAUGUUUGGUGAUGAUUUGGUGAAAUGAUCUUGUUCUCUUGUGCUUAAAUUCUCAUUAUCCAAUUUCAUAUUUAGCCUACCAUAUAUUUGUUAAAAUGACAACAAGAGAGGAAUGUGUUGUACACUUGUAGUGGCCAAUGUGAUUUCCCUUAAGACAUAAUGUGGUCAUUAUCUAUGCAUCAUUUUGAGUUCAAUUGAACCUAAAAGUGAAAUAUUUGGUAGUCAUUGGUCAUUCAUGUUUCCAUUGGAGGUUUUGGAUGUCUUAUGAACUAAAGUUGUGAAAUGUGAAGAAUGUGAAAUAUUGUAGAACCAAAAUGACUAAGUGUUGUAAUGAAUGCAUCCCAUGAGCUCUAAUGUUGAAAUUACUUUGCAUAAAUCAAACAAACAUUUUAUUUUCUUAUCUUUAAUUUUCUUUCUUAACAUACAAAAAUUCCAAAAACAUGUUUUAAUUUUUCUCUUUUGUUUUGGUUUUAUUUGUUUCUUUUUCAUAGGUAUGUCUCCAUGAAAGAACUUGCCACGAGAAGCUAGAAAGGAUAAUGCUAAAGAUAAAGUCAAAGAAAAAGUUACCUCCGCAAAGGAAAGAGCACCGGUCUCCAAAAAUAGUUCGAAAGCUCUGGAUGUCCAAGCAACUAUUGAUCGUACACGGGAGGUCGGAAAGGAGGUGGAUCGAAUACGGUUUAGUGUGGAUGGUGUGAAGAAGCUUUAUGAUGAAUGGAUACCUACUCGGGCUUCCAUCCUGAGAAGGUCUUUAGCAUGAAGGGAGUUGACACCCAUUUCCCCGAGAUCAUCACUGAAGUUAAGGAACGGGCAUGGGAACUCUUCACAGAUAUGACGCCUCCCACUCACCCACUAAGAUACUUCUCGAAUAUUGUUCGUGUGUUUUUGUAACGCCCCAAAAAUCUAUCCCGAGACUUCACACGGUGCUUGGAACCACAGGUGAUCCCAAGCUAACCCAUGAGUUAGCAUAUUGUUAAGCAACUGAAUUAUAACAUAAUAAAUAACUAUUCUGCUGUGCGAAAAUAUAAUCAAACUGAAAAUGUAAAAUAGUUACAACGCUGAUAAAGAUUUAUAUAUGAUAAAUCUGAAGGAUGAAACUGAAAUUACAUGACUGACUCUGACUGACAUCUAUAAAGCCUCUACUAUACUAACUAUAGAUAGUUAGGACAUGCCUCUAACUACCACUAAUCAAUACACAUGAAAGUAAAUGAAUUGUACAUGAAUUGAAAGCUGUCUGGAGUUUUCAAAGUAGGAGAACUCAUUACUUCCUAGAUGGAAUCUACAACUGUCUAAUCAAGAAGCGUAGGCUAUAACUGGUACGUACAUUAUAAGGAAAUAUAGCCACAGAGACAUAUAUGUCUAUCAGUAGUUCUGGAAUGUACUGAGUAUGUAGGGGUGAAUGCAAUAAGUAAAAAUGAUUUCUUCCAUAAUCAUAAAACAUGCAUGCUAAGUGUAAGUAGACUCACCAAAAGCUGGAAUAAACUGAAAGCUGGAAAAAAACUUAAAAUCUGACUAAUAAACAUGAUCUGAUAAGUUGGUAAAUCUCUACACUUAGUUUCUGUAAAACUUACUUUAAUGAUAUAAGUAUAACUGGAGCUGAAUAUUGGACAUGUAAAACUGGACUGUACUUAGUCUAAAUAAUUGGACUGAAACUGUAGAGUAUUAUGCAUAUGAGAAAGGGAUUGACUGAGUAACAUGAGGUAACUGAGCAUGAAUUCGUGAAGAUUGUAUUAUCUGAGAAUGCAAGACCAAACGUAUAACAUGAUUCUAAAAUAUUCUGUAAACUGAGGUACUGAAAUACUGAUAGCUGGAUAACUGAUAACUGUAUGCUAUGGUCAAGCAAACCUGAAACUGAACUGAGUUACUGAUCUGAUUACUGGAUUGAGUUUGUGACUGAGACUGUAGCUGAGACUAUAACUUGGAUUGUAACUGAGACUCCUACUGGAACUGAAUGCUGGGUUUUGAUAACUGAUUAACUAAUAUCCAAGUUUACUGAUACUAUAAUAGUGGUAACUGAGUCUACUGAUACUGUAUUACUGAUAACUGAUAACUGAGUGACUGUGUUUGACAGUCCUGAAUCUGAAGAACCAUCUGAGUUCUUUACUGAGCUGAAUGACUGUAUCUGACAGUCCUGAAUCUGAAGAACUAUUUGAGUUCUGUACUGAGCUAAGUGACUAUAUCUGACAAUUUUGAAUCUGAGGAACUAUCUGAGUUCUUUACUAAGAUGAGUGACUGUAUCUGACAGUCUUGAAUCUGAAGAACUAAAAUUAUGGGAAGUAGUCAUCUAACCGACAUUCCCCAAAUAAGCAAUAUAGCUGAGUUGGGGUCUAAUUUGUAACCCCAAUUGGAAGGGUGUCAAUACCGCACCACUGGUAAGGACAAGCUAAGAGUUACCCUCAUCUAGCAGGUACUCUAAUGAGAACGGUGAGACCCUCAACUGGCAGGUAAGCCACCUCAUCUACCCUCAACUAGCAGGUAUGAUAUCUCAACCUACGCUGGCUACGUAGUUCUGGAGCACAAGGAUUACUGCUAAGAAUCACACCCUCUACUGGCAGGUGAGUUUCUAUCCUUGGGCUCACUCGGUGCUGAAUUCUAAUCCUAUCUGAAUAGACACUGAACAUGAUUAACUGAACUAAACUGGACUGAGUUUAUUGAGUUCAGUUGACUGAUGGAGUACGGCUGAUAUUAUUAAAUUAACUGAGUUUUUCCUGAGUCACAUGACUGACUGAGUUCUAUGGAUCAUGGCUUGACUGAGAGUGUCAUGAAACCAUGACACUGGCUCUAGGCACACAGCUAAAUUUUCGGGUACAAGUACCCCCAGGAUUCGAUAGAAGGAAACUGACAUGGCAUGAUACUCCUUGAAUAUAUGAUCAACAUCAACAAUUCAUACUACAACAGUUGGGGAUAUUUCAUGAGGCAUUCGACUAUCAUAGCUUGGUACAUGAAUAGGAUUGCACGUAGUUAUGGCAUAAUUUCAUAAGGCUAAAUUCAUGAGCAAUCCAACAAACACUUCGAGGUUAUGGACUUGUACCUGAAUGAGAAUACAUGGUAAUGUGUCAUAAUUACCCUAUUGAAUUCACAUGGGCAUUCUAUCAAGCACGUGGAUAUUAAUACUUGGACAUGGAAAUAUCUUAAACAUGGGAGCCUAGCAUGGCUACUUAACCAAAAUCGUGAAUUGGGGGAAUUUACAUGAAAUUCACUUGAAAUAGGACAUGGGUUUUUCAUCAAAACAUGUAAUGUUCAUUACUUGAACAUAAGAAAGUCUUAAUCAUGAAGGAAUAAUAAAGUUGCAUGGCAAAAUUCAUAACUUGGGGAUUCAUCUUAAAACUAUUUAAAUCAUGAUAUGUAAGCCUUUGUUUAAAAAUCAUUCUUGUAGGCAUUUCAUCAAACACUUGUAAUUCAUGGUUUAGGCCAAGCAUGAGAAUAAUUAAAAAUAGUAGUAAUAGCAUGAUUCCAAAUCACCAAUUAGAGUAUAAAUUUAGCAAAUAAUAUCAUUCAAACAUGUGAGGUUUAAUAUCACCCACAAUUUCAUAGAAACAUGGUAUAAGCUCGGGAUUCAUGAAAAAUUAUAAACAAAAUUCAUGGGAACAUGUAAAGAUUAUAACUUUAAACUUGAAAUUUGGGUUUUGGGCUCCAUGGGUGAAAGAGGACCCAUGGAUGAACUCCCACAUACCUUAAUAGACUUGAUUUGAUAUAGAAAACUUGACUUUGAAACCUUUGGAGAUGAUCUUGAAAGCUUUUCUUGAGAUUCUUGGAUUAGGAAACCAAAUUCUUGUUUUUUCUUAAAGGUAUUGUAAUGAAGCCUUGAACUUUUUGAAUGGAGAUUAGGGUUUGUUCUUGAGGGAGUCUUGGAGAGAAAUUAUGAAUAAAGGGAAAAUAAUGCUCCCUAAGGCUUUAAUUACCUGUUAUGGACAAGUUAGGGUGAAGGAAAGGACCUUUUUCCCCUUAAAACGCGAAAACAACACCUGGAAAUUGGGUGUGUGCGGUAGGGCGUGUGUCCCACGCUAAUCGCGCGAUGCUACUGCCUCAGUCACAAAAAUAGCCAUAACUUUUUGUUCGGGUAUCGGAUUUUGGCAAAAUUGAUAUCGUUGGAAAGCUAAUUUAUACAUGUUUGAAGUAGACCCUUAUAGAAUCGAAUAUCGAAUGUUGGACGAAUCAAAGGAUCUUAGCUCAACUUGGCUCUAAAUGAUUUCUAGGAAUAUUUUUAACCUCAUGAGCAUUUCACACACUAGUAUAAAUAUCAUGAAACUUAUAUUCAUAUGAGAAUCACUUGGAUAAUAACUCAUACACUUAGGAACAACGAUUCAUAGACUAGCUCAAAAAUAUGGGAUAUUACAGUUUUAUGCUUCCUACGUUGUUCGGAAAUAAAAUGCCUAUUGCCGAACAACCGUGUCUUGAGAGUGUGCUAGUUCGAGGAGUGGAAUUCCUUUGCACAACUUCGGAGAUCAAUGGGUUUUAUUUGGAUGGUAACUUAGAGUCCAAUGUAAAGUUUAAGAAGCUAAUGUUUGGCGGACGUCAGAACAAUCCGUGGCUUACUAUGGUGAUUUCUAAGGGACUUCCUCCAUGGGCUACUGGUGAAGGUACAAUCAAGAGAAUAGAUGUUUUUGUUCAAGCCAAAUAUUGACUUGGAUUUGUGGGUAAUUGUCUUCUUCCCUCAAUAAAUGACCAAGAUUUUGGGGUUGAUAGGGCUAUUAUUGCGGAUGCAUCAUGGAAAAAAUUGCAAUUAAUCCGGAAGAGUUGAUAGCGGAGACGAUAAAAGCCAGGGAAAAGCAACCGAUCACUUUAUUGUGCUUUCUAGCACUCAUAACUAUGCUUUGCCUUAACUCCAUCAUUCCACUACUCUCUAAGAUUGAUAGAUGGGUUAAAUACACCGGCAUAAUUGAUACCACCCAUUCUAAGGAUUAGGAUAACCCUAAGGGCCUUAAAUGGAAAGCUUCAAUUUUGGUAGAUUCGAGUGCAGAAAAAUUGUCGCGCUUAGAGAGAGUGGAAUUCCUCCAGCUUCCAUGCUUGAUGCUGAAACUCCAUGGUCCCAUGAAUACUCUUCCAUCAUCGAGCACCACACCACCACCUUGGUCCACAUAAUCGGCACAAACUUCUACGAUGACGUUUGCCACAGUUGCUUUCAUGACUUUGGAAAACAAGCCCACUCUUACGCAAUUGUUGGCAGACAUUCCCCAAUUUAUCCAGGCUGCUAUAACACCUCUUUGUACCCGCAUGGUAAAUUUAGAGCAGAGAAUGACCAUUCUUGAGGUGAGGGGAGAUUGUGAGGGCGUGGCAUCUAUGAGGGCAGACCUUGAUAACUUACCGGCAUAGAUUCACUCUGUACAACCCUUCUUCGAUCUUGAUGAGUCAGAGUUUGCUAUUACACCAGUGAAUUCAGGCCCAGUGCUUCCAUUUGAUGAUUUGUUCGACGAGGAUCAUGAAGACAUUGAUAAUGAGGCCGGGGUUGAUCUUACAGAGGGGUUAUCUGAAGCUCGACCGGUUGAGCUCGCCAUGCAGUUAUCCAAGGAUGAGGAGCAUGCACAGAUAGUUGGAGUGAGUUCCAGCACUCGACAUGACAAAUCGAUGAGAGGAGCCCAGUCUGACGAGGCUCCUAUUGAGACAGUGAGAUCAUUAGCCGACAGGGAUCCACGCACCUAGUGCGUCACAAGGAGUCUCUGUUCUCCUCUACUUUCUUUUACUUUCGCAUUGGGGACAAUGCAAUGUCUUUAGUGGAGGGUGGGACAACUUUUAUGUAGGGGUGUGCAUUAGUCGAUUUGGUUCGGUUUUACGUGUUAUUGGUUUAGUUUAUCGAUUUUUGAUUUUUAAAUAUGUAAAAUCAAUAACCAACCAAUAAGAUAUUUUAUUAUCGGUUUUGGUUUAUCGGUUUUUGGCCCUUAAUGGUUCAGUUUUCGGUUUAACCAAUAAAAAAAUACUUAUAAAAUAGAAAUAGUAACAACUAACAUAAAAAAAAUGAAAUCUUAAUUACCGCCAAAACCUACGCAAUUCAUUUUAGUUUAUAAGAAUCUUCAAACUUGAACUGAAUGUUAGUUAGGAAAAAAUUGAAUCUUAAUUGUUGGAAGCUAUAAAUGCUUCAAGCUUUUUAUUACGAUAAUAGCCGAACUUUAUAUUUUACAUUUGUUGCCCUGAAUAGGUUAAUACUUUAUGAAUCACUGAAUUAUGAAUUAGUAGUGCAUAUAAUAUAUAUACAUACACAUAAAUAUAUAUACAUACACACACAUACACAUAUAUAUAUAUAUAUAGAAAGAGAGAGAGAUAGAUAAAGAGAGAGAGA
rnacentral:lncRNA from 1 species